GGCCCCGUAGCUCAGUUGGAUAGAGCAUCAGAUUCUAAUCUGAGGGUCACAGGUUCAAAUCCUGUCGGGGUCACCA
rnacentral:tRNA from 1 species